GAUGAACGCUGGCGGCGUGCCUAAUACAUGCAAGUCGAGCGAACAGACGAGGAUCUUGCUCCUCUUACGUUAGCGGCGGACGGGUGAGUAACACGUGGAUAACCUACCUAUAAGACUGGGAUAACUUCGGGAAACCGGAGCUAAUACCGGAUAAUAUAUUGAACCGCAUGGUUCAAUAGUGAAAGACGGUUUUGCUGUCACUUAUAGAUGUAUCCGCGCCGCAUUAGCUAGUUGGUAAGGUAACGGCUUACCAAGGCGACGAUGCGUAGCCGACCUGAGAGGGUGAUCGGCCACACUGGAACUGAGACACGGUCCAGACUCCUACGGGAGGCAGCAGUAGGGAAUCUUCCGCAAUGGGCGAAAGCCUGACGGAGCAACGCCGCGUGAGUGAUGAAGGUCUUCGGAUCGUAAAACUCUGUUAUUAGGGAAGAACAAAUGUGUAAGUAACUAUGCACGUCUUGACGGUACCUAAUCAGAAAGCCACGGCUAACUACGUG
rnacentral:rRNA from 1 species